GCCCAGUUCCCGUUCCACAGGACGGCUGUGGUGUAGUAGGGUGAUAGAGCUGCAGGGUUUGGCUCCUCCACUUGUUACUCAGAGUGGAGGAUGCUGGUCCUGCCUCUCACCUUGGCUUGGAGCAAGGCUCCUGCCUCCACCCGGUUCUUUUCGACAUCUCUCUCCCAGUGAAUUCUGAUCGUCUCAAGGAUGUCGUCCAGACCAGUGCCAAUGGGAACGUUCAUUUGUUCCAGCUCAGACCCUGCCAACUGUUUGUACAGCAUUUUCACAUCCUGAAAAUGACAAUAUACAUGUCAGUGGCGAAAAAGAUCUGGACUAGAACCCCUGAAGGGAGAGGAAGCUCCGUGCCCUUCAACACAGGCUCCAUCACUCGCUACUCCCUGGACCUGCUGCCUCCCCCAUUUAUGUACCAGCCUGGGCCUGAAGCCAUUUGAGUUGGAGAUUCCCAGGGUACCUGACCCACUGCAAGGAUUGAGAGUAUUUUACUGGCCUUUUCCCUGCAGCCUGGGUGUGUCGUUAGAAGAGAUUCGCAGAAGUGGGAUGUCUGGAUCAAGUCAUAUACACAUAAAUGCAUAUCUCACUUGUCGAGAUGCGCCAGAUUCCUCGCCAUGGGGACUGUGACGUUCUCUCUUCCCGUCAGAGCUGUGCGAACUUGCCCAUUUCCCUAGCGCCUCACCAGCAGCACACACGGACACACUUCUAGAGUGUCGCCAAUCUGAUACGUGAAAAUGUCAUCUCAGGUUGGUUUUUGUCUUGUUCUGUUUGUAGUUCUCUUAUUAUGAGUGAGGUUGAGCAACCUUUUAUAUAGUUAAGAGCUAUUGUCACUUAUUUUUAUGUCAACUGUCUGUUCAUAUCCCUAAUCUAUUUAAAAAUACACAUGUUGUUGGCUUUUAUUUUAAAACUCCA